UACGUAGGUGGCAAGCGUUGUCCGGAUUUACUGGGCGUAAAGCGUGUGUAGGCGGACCUUUAAGUAGAAAGUGAAAGGUAGGAGCUCAACUCCUACAUUGCUCUCUAUACUGGAGGUCUUGAGUGUCGGAGAGGAAGAUGGAACUGCACGUGUAGCGGUGAAAUGCGUUGAGAUGUGCAGGAACACCAAUGGCGAAGGCAAUCUUCUGGACGAAAACUGACGCUGAGACACGAAAGCCAAGGUAGCAAACAGG
rnacentral:rRNA from 1 species